GGAAUAUUUUUUAGACAUUUCAUACAUUAAAUACAAAAUGCCCUCUUUCCCAUAUCACGUUUUAUGCAAUAAUCUUCCCACCUCGUAUAAAUUAAAAUCCACCUCAAUCCCAAAAAGGACAAUCCCGGACAAAGCACUGGCAUUUGGGUAAUCUUCAGGUUCUGCCCUCCUUUUAUUGGCUUUCAAUUGCGGACCGGGAAUGGAAAUCAGUGGCAAAACCCGCCAAACCAUCAGUGGAGAGUGGCGGCUGCCGUUGUUGUUGUUGUGUGAAAAACUGAUGCCAGUAGUUAACGGUACUUUGUAUGCAAAGUACAAGAAGGAGAAGACAAUGAAAGAAUAUGGAGUGAGAGUAAGGAAGAGCGGAGAGCGGAAGUUAAAGCGCCAGAAUGCGGAGCAGUCAAGUCCCAAAACGAGAGAAACUCCAGAGGAAGACGUCUGCCCCUGGCCACAAAAACCGUUUUUUGGCUGCUAUUUGAUUAUAUAAAAUGUUCCCUUUUUUCCUUACUGUACUUUCAAUGUAUAGCCAUGUGCCUUCAGCUGUGCUUGCUGCUGGGCACUUUAUUUGCUGGUUGUAAGCGUUUAGUGGCAAACAACUGACAGCUGCCGAAAUGACGGCGGGCAUUUCCAAAUCGUCCGAGUAAACGUUUAGUUCCUCCAGCUGCUGCACAGACUGCAGUAUCCGUCCGGGUGCUGCCAGCGUGUCUGUGAUGUGAUUAAGAUGGUUAGUCAUUCCAUUUAAGAGCUUGCCCCGAAGCUCUGACUUUGCCAAUGAUGGUGGGAAAUGAGGAAAGGGCUCUUUUGGUGCAUCACCUAUUUAUUUUCAUCUAUGGAUCGUGAUUGCUUCGGAAAAUUGUAAAUUAAAUCAGAAUUUUCAACAGAUAUUCAAAGUAUUUAAAUAUAGCAAAUAUUUUAAUAAGAAAGGCUUGAUUAGACAUUGAUAAGAAACACCUUUUUUGCCGCUCUUGACUAUUUCUUUUUCUGGCAGGCAAAAUACGUGCUUGAUAAGCAACAGUAUCAUGUCAUUAAUUUCUUUUUUGUUUCUUUUUUGUAGCCACUACCUAAAAAACGCUUCAAUGAAUUUGGAUUCAUUUGAAUGGAUUUUCGGUUUCCUUUAUUUUUUCAUUAUGUGAAGAGCUUCGUCCACAUUCCUUUCCAUCCAGACUCAGGCACCAGCACCAGCAGCAGCAGCAGCAGCAGCAGCAGCUCCAUCACCAUCUCCGGUUCCCUUUCGACGAUUUUUCCGUUGCCUUUUGCAACAUUUGAGCACUUGGUAUUUGGUAUCUCGCCAUCUAUGAGGUGGCAAUCGAGAGAAGCUGUGGGCAAGGGGAGGGACUUUGCCAUUACUUCGAUUUGUUUCUUAUUUAAAUUUUGUAUACACUUCAAUAGGAGAAAAGAACGUUAAGUGGCUUUGUCGGUUGCAAAAGCGAAUUAAUGCUGCUGGGUGGAAAAAAAAGUAAAGGAAAAUCGCUGCGGUUUCCUACUCUAAUGCGUUUAAUUUAUAUCCAUCCUCUCCCUUCCACCCACAGCCAAGAACAACUACAACAAAGAGAAGUAAGAGAAAUGGAUGGUGCGGAAUGGGUAUAUAUAUAAAAAUAUAUAUUUAUUUUACAGCUGCUGCACUUAGAUGUGCGAUGGCAAUAAAAAGCAGCCCCAGCAAGUGGCAUUCAACACCUUUUUUUCCUCGCUGCCCCACCGAUUCUCUAUUUCUGCCCCAACCAGAAAAGCUUAAUAAACAAACGACGAAAAUGGUCUAAGUUGGGGGUGGUGAGAAGGUGGAGUUACGCUACUGGUGGAUGCCUCGGUGGUUGAACCAGUGGAUGGGGAAUGCGGAUGCGGAUGCGGAUGCGUUAUAAACAUUUAAGUCCACAAUUUGCACAGACUGUGGGGGCAGGGCAGAACAGAGCGGGCCAGAACACCCAACCCGAAUGGCAGUACUCUGCUCUCUGCUCCACUCCGCACCGCUUCAAGUGUAACCAUGCGCCCAGCAGCCAAAUGCUGGCCAAAUGCAAUUUUCACGUGCAACCGCAACGAUAUUUAUGCCACUUCAGCUACAAAAGCAACGCCAGCACCAAUUUCUACACUACUCAAAAAGUAGAAGGAUUAGCAGCUGCUUAUAUGAUGUCAAUAAAUC
rnacentral:lncRNA from 1 species